CUUAAUGCAUGCAAGUCGAGCGAUGAGGUCUCCUUCGGGGGACACAUCAGCGGCAGACGGGUGAGUAACACGUAAGUAACCUACCCCAGAGACAGGGAUAACCCUAGGAAACGAGGGCUAAUACCGGAUGACCUCCGGAAGGAGGAAAGGCUGAGGCGCUCUGGGAGGGGCUUGCGGCCCAUCAGCUAGUUGGUAGGGUAACGGCCUACCAAGGCGAAGACGGGUAGGGGGUGUGAGAGCACGGCCCCCCACAAUGGGACUGAAACACGGCCCAUACUCCUACGGGAGGCAGCAGCAGGGAAUAUUGCACAAUAGGCGGAAGCCUGAUGCAGCGACGCCGCGUGAGUGAAGAAGGCCUUCGGGUCGUAAAGCUCUUUUGUAGGGGAAGAGGAAGGACGGUACCCUAAGAAGAAGCGUCGGCUAACUACGUGCCAGCAGCCGCGGUAAGACGUAGGACGCGAGCGUUAUCCGGAAUUACUGGGCGUAAAGGGCCAGCAGGCGGCUUGGUAAGUUGUGCGUGAAAGCCUCGUGCUCAACGCGAGGAAGCCGGACAAUACUGUCAAGCUAGAGGGCAUCAGAGGGGAGUGGAAUUCCCGGAGUAGCGGUAAAAUGCGCAGAUAUCGGGAGGAACACCGAUGGCGAAGGCAGCUCCCUGGGAUGCACCUGACGCUAAGAGGCGAAAGCUAGGGGAGCGAACAGGAUUAGAGACCCUGGUAGUCCUAGCUGUAAACGCUGGGUGCUAGGUGUGGGACGUAGAAGUUCCGUGCCGGAGCAAACGCGAUAAGCACCCCGCCUGGGAAUUACGGUCGCAAGGCUAAAACUCAAACGAGUUGACGGGGCCCCGCACAAGCAGCGGAGCGUGUGGUUCAAUUCGAUGCUACACGAAGAACCUUACCUGGGUUUGACAUGUACGUGGUACGAGGGCGAAAGCCUAAGGACCCUUCGGGGAGCGUACACAGGUGCUGCAUGGCUGUCGUCAGCUCGUGCCGUGAGGUGUCGGGUUAAGUCCCGUAACGAGCGCAACCCUUGCCCUUAGUUACAAGUGUCUAAGGGGACUGCCGGCGGGAAGCCGGAGGAAGGU
rnacentral:rRNA from 1 species